CUGUCUUAUAAAAAUUUAUAUUGAAUUUAAUUUUUAAGUUAAAAAGCUUAAAUAAUUUUAAAGGACGAGAAGACCCUAUAGAGUUUUAUAAUUUAUUUUAUUUAAUUUAUUAAAUUUUAUUUUAAAUUAAAUAAAUUAUUUUAUUGGGGUGAUAGAAAAAUUAAUUAAACUUUUUUAUUUAUAAAAUUAUACAUAAAUUAAUGAAUUUUUGAUCCUAUUUUUUGGAUUAAUAGAUUAAAUUACCUUAGGGA
rnacentral:rRNA from 1 species